CAAGGAAGGUGCCUGUGACUAUGCUUGGAUCCAAGCCAUGGUCACUCAUUUCCUACCCUGGUGUUUUAGCUACAUCCUUCCUGCAGUCUGUCUGUGCCUGAGGUUCCCAAGCAUUUGCCAAAGCUUUAUUGAAGUUGAUUUUUGCAUAUGUAGACAAGAAAUGCAGACUUCCCACUGGACAUUUUUGGUUACGGUACAGUGUUUUUGAAAUGGCCACAAGGAUUCCAUUUUUCAGCAAGCAAUGGCCUUGCAGACUUUUGUCCAAAACAACUGAGUGUCCUGUAAUGUAAUUAUGAGCAGCAGGGCCACCAGAGUGAGCUUUGGUCUUCUUCAUUCCCUGCAAUAUCUGUUCGACG